AUACGUAGGUGGCAAGCGUUGUCCGGAUUUACUGGGUGUAAAGGGCGUGUAGGCGGAGAUGCAAGUCAGGAGUGAAAUCUAGGGGCUCAACCCCUAAACUGCUUUUGAAACUGUAUCCCUUGAGUAUCGGAGAGGCAGGCGGAAUUCCUAGUGUAGCGGUGAAAUGCGUAGAUAUGCCACAGAACGCCGAUAGCGGAGGCAGCUCGCCAGGCCUGCAUGUACGCUCGGGCACGAAAGCGUGGGGAUCGAACAGGAUUAGAUACCCUGGUAGUCCACGCCGUAAACGAUGGGCGCUCGUCGUCGGCGGCAGACAGUCGGCGGCCAAGCGAAAGCGAUAAGCGCCCCACCUGGGGAGUACGGUCGCAAGGCUGAAACUCAAAUGAAUUGACGGGG
rnacentral:rRNA from 1 species